rnacentral:snRNA from 1 species
GGAUGUAAGGGCGAUCUGGCUUCGACAUCUGUCACCCCAUUGAUCGCCAGGGUUGUCUGCUGAUCUGGCUGGCUAGGCAGGUGUCCCCUUCCCCCCUCACCGCUCCAUGUGCAUCGCUCCUGAAGCUGCACCAAGGACCGGUCUUCAGUCAAGAGUAGCUGCGCUCCCCUGCUAGAACCUCCAAACGAGCUCUCAAGAAUUUAAGUUCACUCUUGUAUAUGUGGACAUCCAGUUUUUCCAGUACUAUUUAUUUUGCAUUCUUUU